AUAGCUCAAUUGAUAGAGUAGAGGACUUAAAAUCCUUGUGUCACUAGUUCAAAUCUAGUU
rnacentral:tRNA from 1 species